rnacentral:rRNA from 1 species
GCCAAUGGUGAUAGCUCGCAGCUCGCUGCACCAGCCCCCGAUGGAUCACUGAAAUUAAGCAACGUUGAGCUUGACUAUUAUUCGGAUGGGUGACCACCUGGACAAUCCUACUUCUUUUGCCU